GAAAGCGAUGGGCAUCCCAUUCAGAAAGCACAUUCUUGCUCUGAGCAACCUGGAGCAGGGGGCGGUGUGCAGGAGGGUGCGGUGUGCAGCAGAGAGCCAUUUUGCCCCAGGGCCUGGCUCCUUUGCCAAAGAACAAGAGGUGUGGGGACAGCAGGUCCCAGCUUGCUGGAGGCUUCAAAAGCCCCAGACAGACACCCCCGGCUCUGCCUCCAGGCCCAGCGUACUCCUGCCAGGCCCUUUAAAGACUCUAGAACAUUCUCUCCAGCUGCCUGUGUGACCGCGGCUCUCCCCUUAGUGCAGCAGAGCAUCUGGGAAAAAGCAAGCCUGUGUGUCACUUUCCUGGAGCAUCUUGAGGUCCCCCGUGGGCCCGGCACCCCCACCCGUGUGACACGGAGAUGCCCCGGGUGGGGUGGUUCCACUGGAUUUACGAGCCCCCAGAGCAGAUGCUGUGGGAGGCUCUGCCCUUCCCACCCCGGGAAUUGUGCUGAGGUGGCGUUGGGGGCUGGGCUAUUACCGGCUGAGAGAAAGAGACAAAGAAAACCCCAACCAAAAGGCCCAGGCUUGGGGGCAGGCCGGGGAUGCACCAGCUGUCGGGGCGGGCUGUGGGUGCCGGGGGAGUGCUGGAGAGUUCCGGGGGCGCAGGCGGCCCUCCCUAGAGCUGCUUGGCUGUGGGGGGAACGCUGGCUCCCACAAGCCCUUAGGGGCCUUAAAACCUGGCUCCUGCUUGGAAGUUCUUCUAAAGGGCUCUUCUUGACAACAGCCAUCGGCCCCAAGGUCGUAGCCACAUUAACCCAGGGUCUCAGGUUUCAUCUGCAUCUGGGAAGGCUGAGCUCUGGGCCUCCCAGGAGCCUCUGGACUGAGCUGAGAGGUGGGCUGGGUGGUUUGGGGGAGGGGAGAAAGAACCCCUCCCGUGCAGGGGAAGCCACCGUUUUAAUUGAGGUCCUGCUACGUGACAAGCAUACGUCAUUCUCAUCUAUGAGGGAGGCGAUGCUGUUAACCAUUUUACAGAUGAGGAAACUGAGGCUCAGAGAGGUGAAGCUACUGACCUAA
rnacentral:lncRNA from 1 species